rnacentral:rRNA from 1 species
CCCAAUCCUGAUACAGGGAGGUAGUGACAAUAAAUACUGAUACAGGGCUCUUUUGGGUCUUGUAAUCGGAAUGAGUACAAUUUAAACCUCUUAACGAGGAACAAUUGGAGGGCAAGUCUGGUGCCAGCAGCCGCGGUAAUUCCAGCUCCAAUAGCGUAUAUUAAAGUUGUUGCAGUUAAAAAGCUCGUAGUUGAACCUUUGGCCUGGCUGGCAGGUCCGCCUCACCGCGUGCACUUGUCCGGCCGGGCCUUUUCUUCUGGAGAACCGCAUGCCCUUCACUGGGUGUGUUGGGGACCAGGACUUUUACUUUGAAAAAAUUAGAGUGUUCAAAGCAGGCCUUUGCUCGAAUAUUACAGCAUGGAAUAAUAAAAUAGGACGUGCGGUUCUAUUUUGUUGGUUUCUAGGACCGCCGUAAUGAUUAAUAGGGACAGUCGGGGGCAUCAGUAUUCAAUUGUCAGAGGUGAAAUUCUUGGAUUUAUUGAAGACUAACUACUGCGAAAGCAUUUGCCAAGGAUGUUUUCAUUAAUCAGUGAACGAAAGUUAGGGGAUCGAAGACGAUCAGAUACCGUCGUAGUCUUAACCAUAAACUAUGCCGACUAGGGAUCGGGCGGUGUUAUUAUUUUGACUCGCUCGGCACCUUACGAGAAAUCAAAGUGUUUGGGUUCUGGGGGGAGUAUGGUCGCAAGGCUGAAACUUAA